GAGUUUGAUCCUGGCUCAGGACGAACGCUGGCGGCGUGCUUAACACAUGCAAGUCGAGCGGAAAGGCCCCUUCGGGGGUACUCGAGCGGCGAACGGGUGAGUAACACGUGAGCAACCUGCCCCUGACUCUGGGAUAAGCCUGGGAAACUGGGUCUAAUACCGGAUACGACCACCGAUCGCAUGGUCUGGUGGUGGAAAGUUUUUUCGGUUGGGGAUGGGCUCGCGGCCUAUCAGCUUGUUGGUGGGGUAGUGGCCUACCAAGGUGACGACGGGUAGCCGGCCUGAGAGGGCGACCGGCCACACUGGGACUGAGACACGGCCCAGACUCCUACGGGAGGCAGCAGUGGGGAAUAUUGCGCAAUGGGCGGAAGCCUGACGCAGCGACGCCGCGUGGGGGAUGACGGCCUUCGGGUUGUAAACCUCUUUCAGCAGGGACGAAGUUGACGUGUACCUGCAGAAGAAGCGCCGGCUAACUACGUGCCAGCAGCCGCGGCAAUACGUAGGGCGCAAGCGUUGUCCGGAAUUAUUGGGCGUAAAGAGCUCGUAGGUGGCUGGUCGCGUCUGCCGUGAAAGCCCGCAGCUUAACUGCGGGUCUGCGGUGGAUACGGGCCGGCUAGAGGUAGGUAGGGGCAAGUGGAAUUCCUGGUGUAGCGGUGAAAUGCGCAGAUAUCAGGAGGAACCACCGGUGGCGAAGGCGGCUUGCUGGGCCUUACCUGACGCUGAGGAGCGAAAGCGUGGGGAGCGAACAGGAUUAGAUACCCUGGUAGUCCACGCUGUAAACGUUGGGCGCUAGGUGUGGGGGUCUUCCACGAUCUCCGUGCCGGAGCUAACGCAUUAAGCGCCCCGCCUGGGGAGUACGGCCGCAAGGCUAAAACUCAAAUGAAUUGACGG
rnacentral:rRNA from 1 species